rnacentral:rRNA from 1 species
UACGUAGGGUGCAAGCGUUGUCCGGAAUUAUUGGGCGUAAAGAGCUUGUAGGCGGUUUGUCGCGUCUGCUGUGAAAUUUCGGGGCUCAACCCCGAACUUGCAGUGGGUACGGGCAGACUAGAGUGUGGUAGGGGAGACUGGAAUUCCUGGUGUAGCGGUGAAAUGCGCAGAUAUCAGGAGGAACACCGAUGGCGAAGGCAGGUCUCUGGGCCAUAACUGACGCUGAGAAGCGAAAGCAUGGGGAGCAAACGGG